rnacentral:rRNA from 1 species
GAACCUGCGGAGGGAUCAUUACAGAGUUAUCCAACUCCCAAACCCAUGUGAACUUAUCUCUUUGUUGCCUCGGCGCAAGCUACCCGGGACCUCGCGCCCCGGGCGGCCCGCCGGCGGACAAACCAAAACUCUUGUUAUCUUAGUUGAUUAUCUGAGUGUCUUAUUUAAUAAGUCAAAACUUUCAACAACGGAUCUCUUGGUUCUGGCAUCGAUGAAGAACGCAGCGAAAUGCGAUAAGUAAUGUGAAUUGCAGAAUUCAGUGAAUCAUCGAAUCUUUGAACGCACAUUGCGCCCAUUAGUAUUCUAGUGGGCAUGCCUGUUCGAGCGUCAUUUCAACCCCUAAGCACAGCUUAUUGUUGGGAACCUACGGCUUCGUAGUUCCUCAAAGACAUUGGCGGAGUGGCAGUGGUCCUCUGAGCGUAGUAAUCUUUUAUCUCGCUUCUGUUAGGUGCUGCCCCCCCGGCCGUAAAACCCCCAAUUUUUUCUGGUUGACCUCGGAUCAGGUAGGAAUACCCGCUGAACUUAAGCAUAUC